rnacentral:lncRNA from 1 species
AUUAACUUACAGAGUAUGGCUGCUGUUAUCCCAGCUCAUGGUCUAUAUCACAGUCUCCUAUUGCAGUGGCCUCCUCAAUCGUCACAUUAACAUUCUUCAGCCUACUGCUACUCAAUAGCAUUGGAUCACAUGCACUUACGUACACCGGCACGAAGCACUGACAGCACGUCUGCUGUCAGGGGGUCUUUAUCUUGUUAUAUUAACUAACUGAGUUAAGUUACGUAUCCGAUAACCAGGCCAACAGUUCACUUAACAGUACUACGUAUGCAUCGACAAAUUCCCAAAGUCUCAACCGCCGCCGCGGCUAAUCCGGAAAACCCAGAGCUUACGGGGUGAAUGAUAAGAAAAGGGGUUAAGCUCUCCGUCAGGUCUCAGCCGUCUCCGUCCCAUGUCUUUGCACUUGCCAUUUGUGUACGGAACAUUCAACACAACCAUAUACGUAUGUAUGUAGUACCACAAAGAUCAACCGAGAUCCCGAAUAUGUGCAAAUCGGUAAGAUACUACCGGUACCGCCAUCCCCUCCGGAUAAUGCCUUCUUCGGGUUGAGAUUUAUGUAUGCAAGGGCGACUUGAAAGUUGCGGCGAUGAUUGUACGCGUACGACAUACGAUUACGUACAGUAACUUUGUAUUAAUAGGCCACCACGAGCCUCUUGACAUUUGACAGAUCGAUCAGUGAUCAGUCACAAGCUAUCAGUGCUCGACUAACACGCCUCCUGUGUUUCACAAUUCAGAUUCGGAUAGGCCUAGGUCGCGGAAAAUGCACUCCAGCGUCCGUACCACAACUCUACUCGUACGUACUAGCUCAUAGUAACUAUGGGGAUAAUGAAAGAAAAGUUGCAAGGCUGCUUUUCCUUACAUGCUAACAUACCUUUCCGCUCCAUUCUUAUACGUGGUAGUUACGUAUCACAUUGUUCAUUCUAUUUCCAUGCCUUCUCCUCUGCUGAACCGGAUUAUCAAUAAUACAACCAUAAUAUCGACGGCCUCGGCCCAUUAGAACCAUCUCAAUGUCCGAUUCUGGUUAUCAUUUCCGCAUUGACAUAUCAUUCAUGGUCUCUUGUAAUUGUGUCGUCUGGUUAUUAUUGACUUGAUUCCAGUAACCACAUUAUAGCGAGACACGGCACAGUAAUGACUCGGAUAUAGUAGACAGGUCAAAAAUGAAAGAAUAAAACUUCCCUAGUUCGUUUCAGCAAUAGCUGUAGGAUACCUAGGUCCGUAUAUGAAUUUACUAUUGGAGGAACUGAUGCUUCUUUGCCUGGAUGAGAGGUCAACUAACUCUGGGGGGUUGUCUGCUGUUCAUUUUUUGAGAUCCUACGCCCAGUAUAUGCAGAUAUAAAAA